AGAAGAGUGGCGAACGGGUGAGUAACACGUGGGUAACCUGCCCAUCAGAAGGGGAUAACACUUGGAAACAGGUGCUAAUACCGUAUAACAAUCGAAACCGCAUGGUUUUGAUUUGAAAGGCGCUUUCGGGUGUCGCUGAUGGAUGGACCCGCGGUGCAUUAGCUAGUUGGUGAGGUAACGGCUCACCAAGGCCACGAUGCAUAGCCGACCUGAGAGGGUGAUCGGCCACAUUGGGACUGAGACACGGCCCAAACUCCUACGGGAGGCAGCAGUAGGGAAUCUUCGGCAAUGGACGAAAGUCUGACCGAGCAACGCCGCGUGAGUGAAGAAGGUUUUCGGAUCGUAAAACUCUGUUGUUAGAGAAGAACAAGGAUGAGAGUAACUGUUCAUCCCUUGACGGUAUCUAACCAGAAAGCCACGGCUAACUACGUGCCAGCAGCCGCGGUAAUACGUAGGUGGCAAGCGUUGUCCGGAUUUAUUGGGCGUAAAGCGAGCGCAGGCGGUUUCUUAAGUCUGAUGUGAAAGCCCCCGGCUCAACCG
rnacentral:rRNA from 1 species